CAGCCGCCGCGGGAAUACAGAGGAUGCAAGCGUUGUCCGGAAUUAUUGGGCGUAAAGGGCUCGCAGGCGGUUUCUUAAGUCUGAUGUGAAAGCCCCCGGCUCAACCGGGGAGGGUCAUUGGAAACUGGGAAACUUGAGUGCAGAAGAGGAGAGUGGAAUUCCACGUGUAGCGGUGAAAUGCGUAGAGAUGUGGAGGAACACCAGUGGCGAAGGCGACUUUCUGGUCAGUAACUGACGCUGAGGAGCGAAAGCGUGGGGAGCGAACAGGAUUAGAUACCCCUGUAGUCCCUGUCUCUUAUAC
rnacentral:rRNA from 1 species